CAGCUCUGCAGGCUGGGGAGGCCAAGGUUAAGGUGCCCGCAGGCUGGCUGGUGAGGGUCCCGUCUGCUGUUCCGAGGGCACCCCUAGAGGCCACAUCCUCAAGAGGGGAGGAAUGCUGCGUCAUAAGGCAGAAGGAUGAGUCUGCUCUGGGAUCCUCUCCUGAGAUGGGCCUAGGCUGGGCUGCCUGUCCCUAGGCAAGAACAAAGAUCAUUUUAGGGGCAGGUAUGAGGCCUUUGUAAAGCCCUGGAUCUUGCCUCUGAUGCACCACUGGGAGGCAAUAUAGCACAGUGUGAACUAAGUUCAACUCCUGCUUCCUCCACUUCAUUGCUGUGUCUUCAGCAGGUGACUUAACAUCUCUGAGCCGCAAAUUCUUCCUUUGCAAAAGAGACAUACCUACAUCAGAGCACUGUCAUGAGAAGCCCAGUGAGGAAUUAUGGCAAAGACUGAAUGCUGUAUUGGCACGAAGGAAAUGUUGGAGAAACGGCAGCUAUUACUGUCAUCAUUGUGGCUGGCAGAUCCCCCUACUCCUACCUGAGGCUUAGGGCAGUAUUGUUAAGACUAAUUUAGUUCCCAGAAAAGAUG
rnacentral:lncRNA from 1 species